rnacentral:tRNA from 1 species
UGGGGUGUAGCUUAGUGGUAAAGUGCUUGCCUAGCAUGCAUGAAGCCCUAGGUUCAAUCCCUUAGGCAUGGCAG